rnacentral:tRNA from 1 species
GCAGUCACGGCCCAGUGGUUAAGGCGAUGGACUAAAAAUCCAUUGGGGUCUCCCCGCACAGGUUCAAAUCCUGUCGACUGCG